UUGUGUGUGAAUGUGCAUUUGUGUGAGCAGUGACCUUCUGUCAUCUGUCUAUGUGCUGUGACUGACAUCUAUUCUCUAUGUUAAAUUGUAUAACCACGCCAUUGGUGUGUUGUGUGUGUGGUGUGUUGUUUGUGUGUGGGAGAAGGUGAAAACCUGAGUGUUUGUCCUUGACCAAGCUCUGAUUGGAGAGCCUCAUGCAUCUGUUCAGACAUUUUAGUGUUGUGACUAAGGAGUACUGGGAUGUACUGAGUCGGAUCACAGCAGUGGUGGAGAAGCAUAAGAAGGGUUUGGUACCAGGUGUGCCCCAGCUCAAUAUGUGUGACAUGGCUGUCAUGAACAGGCACCUCCAGGAUGUGAAAAGUUAGGAAAUGCCUUAAAGCACCCAAGUCACAGCCGUGGAAGUGUGACUGGCCGCAUUAGCUAUCUGUUUCAGCGCCACCCUGGGAAGAGGGAGGAUGUCAGCGAAGAUGCUGCCUUGAUGAAGAGCAAUUUUCAGGAAUUCAACUUGAAUUUCUAUUCGUUUUUAACUUGUAAUGUUGAAACAGAACAACAUAUGGUUUGAAUGAAGGACAUUAACAAUGGGACGAAUGCUGUCUGUGUACCAUAUGAUUAUUAAUAGAAUGAAGCUGAUUUGCAACUGCUUUUUUUAUGAUGCCAUCUCUGUAUAUGUUUUCUCUCUCUUUACUUACUUAUGCACUAUUGUGGAAGACAUUGAAAUAGGGCAACAACAACAACAACAAGCUGUUUUAACUAGAAUAAAACAAUGUUUCAUUUUUA